rnacentral:rRNA from 1 species
AGGAUGAACGCUGGCGGUCUGCUUAACACAUGCAAGUCGAACGGAGUAGCAAUACUUAGUGGCGGACGGGUGAGUAACGCGUGAGAAUCUACCUUCAGGACGGAGACAACAGUUGGAAACGACUGCUAACCCCCGAUGUACCGAAAGGGCAAAUAUUUAUAGCCUGAAGAAGAGCUCGCGUCCGAUUAGCUAGUUGGAGAGGUAAAAGCUCACCAAGGCGACGAUCGGUAGCUGGUCUGAGAGGACGAUCAGCCACACUGGGACUGAGACACGGCCCAGACUCCUACGGGAGGCAGCAGUGGGGAAUUUUCCGCAAUGGGCGAAAGCCUGACGGAGCAAGACCGCGUGGGGGAAGAAGGCUCUUGGGGUUGUAAACCCCCUUUUCUCUGGGAAGAACACAAUGACGGUACCAGAGGAAUCAGCAUCGGCUAACUCCGUGCCAGCAGCCGC